rnacentral:lncRNA from 1 species
GAAAGUCCUUGCUCUCCCGCUCAUCUUUUCAUUGCUCUCUCUCCUUCCCGCAGACAACCCGGACCUCCUCUGGGCGCCAGCUCCUCGGCUCCAACCCGUCCAGAAUCAAGCGGGAUUUUUUUUUUCUUUCCCUCUAGAAAUUGGCUUUGGUGUGUCGCCCGCCCUCUCCCCUCCUCCUCGCAACUCCUCCCCUCUUUUUUUUCCUCCUUCUUCUUCUUCCUGAGACAUGGCCCGGGCAGUGGCUCCUGGAAGAGGAACAAGUGUGGGAAAAGGGAGAGGAAAUCGGAGCUAAAUGACAGGAUGCAGGCGACUUGAGACACAAAAAGAAAAGCGCUUCUCGCGAAUUCAGGCAUUGCCUCGCCGCUAGCCUUCCCCGCCAAGACCCGCUGAGGAUUUUCUGGUUCUUAGGCGGACUUAAGAGCGUUUCGGAUUGUUAAGAUUAUCGUUUGCUGGUUUUUCGUCCGCGCAAUCGUGUUCUCCUGCGGCUGCCUGGGGACUGGCUUGGCGAAGGAGGAUGGAGAGGGGGCUGCCGUUGCUGUGCGCCACGCUCGCCCUUGCCCUCGCCCUGGCGGGCGCUUUCCGCAGCGGUAAGUGACAGCCGGAGACGGGAGCAACCAGAGUGCCCGGGGCUGCCGAGUCCCCUCGGGCGAAGGGGUUCCAGCCCCAGCCACGGGACUUCCAGCCCCAGCCACGGGACGCGCGCACGGCUGCCGGGCGCAGGAAACUUGCCUGCGCAAGGAACGGAGAAGUCAGGGCGUCUGGGGCAGGAGGACCACAAACCCUCGGCCCCCUGCUCCAGUUGGUUGCUGGCUUCUCCUGCCUCUGUUUCGAGACAGAGCUGCCUACCUUCCCAGAUCAGCACACCAAUUAUCUUAAUAAUGUUUCCUCCCAGAGGCAAUUAAAUGAGACUCCCUUUCAAAAAUCUGAUGGCUGCUGAGAGUUAAUGAACACUUCACCGGGAGGACUUCCUGGUUCUCCUCAAAACACCCCUGCUCGGUUUCCUCUGGUGGGCGACACAGAGAGAUAGCGGUCAGUCUUGGCGCUGGAACUCUCCGCUGCCUUUGUAAACCGUCUGUGAUCAGUCUGAAGUAUGAAUGAAAGUCGCACUGUCAAUAAAGGCUUUGGAUCUAUUCAGUGUGAGGUACCAGCGUGUCUGAGAAUUCGUAACCCUGUUGCAGCUUCCAGUUGGCUUUUAAAACCACUCACUGUUAAGUAAAUGAAAGGCAGUCCUGGGUAUAAACAGUGCCUUGGAACAUAAAGAGUGUGUUUAAAAUGGGAUCUGGUACAAAUGUGUUCCACGUCCCCUGGAAAGGUGCUGAAGGCUAGGCAAGGGCUGAUCGGAACAGUAGAUCUUCAUCAUUAUUAUUAACUAAUAGCUAAAUGUUUACUUUGUCUGGCUCAGAUUUCAAUCAAAGUAAUUAGGAGAAAAGUGCAUCUACCACUUAUUGUAGUAUAUUGUUUUAAUAAGAGCUGAGCGGAGGGCUCUACCAGGAAGAAUUUAAAUCACUCCUUUAUGAUAGAAGUUAAUCUCCUUAAUGUGCUUUCCCCAGGUUUUGUGAUUUCAACUAUAGAUCUCCCCCAACAGGUACCAAGCAGUGUUCUCAAAAGAUAUGCAAAAUUUUUGUGAACACGGCUGGAAUUCAAUUUAUUAAUGAAUUCGAGUUGGCGGCAUCUUCCUAUAUACUCUGGAAGGGAAGCCAAACACUCAAAAAAUCAUGAAUGUGGAGUUCAAUUUGUUAAUGAACCUGAGUUGGUGGAGUGCUUCUAUACUCUGGCAGGGAAUGAAAUAUCUUUUUCCUCUAACAGAAAGAACUCAAAUGUUUAGAACUCAAACGGUUAUCCUUCAUAAUGCGUAAGGAUGGAGUGGAGGCCCUCAACUUUCCUAAUGCUGCAACCCUUUUAGUACAGUUCAUGCUGUGGUGACCCCCAACCAUAAAAUUAUUUUUGUUGCUACUUCAUAGCUGUAGUUUUGCUACUGUUAUAAAUCGUAAUGUAAAUAUUUUUGGAGAAAGAGGCUUGCCAAAGGGGUUGAAACCCACAGAUAGAGAACAACACUGGGUUAGAGCCAUGUUGGGGUACCCAAAAGAUGGUCAUAAUAACCAAUGUGAAGAGCAUUAAGACUUGUGUGGUACUGAACAACACACACACACACACACACACACACACACACACUUUUUAAUUUUCUUAGCAGAAAUGUGGGGGAUGCUGAGAAUCUGGACUCCACUCAACUGAAACCUUAUUGCUAUGCUUGAGGUGGCCAGGGCUGGCACAUGACUCAGUAACUCUCUAGUCCUCUUAAAACCAUAUCCACCUCCUCCCAGUAAGUGUCUACUAAAUUAAUUCAUUAACCUUAUUUAGGACUAAUGGUCCACAGUCAUUAGGAAUCGCUCUCUCCUAAUCAAGUGUUAGAGAGACUG